AGCUUUUCGCAGUGACAACGUUGUAGCCAAUGAGGUUUAUCUGAAGCGCGAUUAUUGCUAAUUGAAAACUUUUCCCAAUACCCCACCAUGACAACUUGAAAUAUAGUCCACAUUUGCAAUUUUUGGCAAUCUCUACAGAGA
ensembl:snRNA U4 U4 spliceosomal RNA